rnacentral:misc_RNA from 1 species
AUGAAAGAAUUUAAUUCUUUUUAAAAAAUUUUCUUUUUCCAAAGAAAUAAGUAUAAUUAUAUGAGAAUUGAAUUGAAUUGAAUUUUUUUCUUAGAAAAUGAUUUAUUUCAAACAAUUAAACGAAGCCUAAGAAAAUAAUUGCAAUUGAAUGGGAAAAAACAAGUGUGUUUCAAAUUUUUCAUGUCUUAGUUUUUGUUGUCAAGUUGAAACACCAGCAGCAUCAUUCUUUUUUUUUUUCUUCUUCCAACUUUCUUUUAUUCUUUUUUAUAUAUACGUAAAAUUUUAACACUAGGAUUAAAAUUUUGCUGCUAGGAAUGAAUCCCAGCAGCACAGUGUUUUUGCCUUUUCAAUUUCUUUUAUUUUUUUUAUUAAAAAAUAUGUAUUAAUAGAUAUUCAAAGUAAAAUAUUUAUGGGCUAUUUUUUUUAAAUUAAAAGAUAAAAUCAAUUUUAAUUUAUCCUUUAUUUUUUUUAACAAAUAUUUUUUUUAAAUUAAAAGAUG